rnacentral:lncRNA from 1 species
AUUUAGAAAAAUUGCGCCUCGUCAGCUGUCCGGUUAGUAGCCUUGGCCAACCAGGACGCACCGCAUGGCAGAGACACUAACGCAGGAGGCCACGCGGAAGGGAGACACGUGGGCGAUCCGCGUGCGGGUGAUCGAACGGAUGAGAUUUUUUUCCGCGCGCACGGACGGCCUUGAUUGAAUCACGCACGGACGGGUAUAGAUUGCAUCGCGAUGAACGGUCUAGAUUCAUUUCUUAUUUAAUCACGAUC